UGGGGAAUAUUGCACAAUGGAGGGAACUCUGAUGCAGCGACGCCGCGUGAACGAAGAAGGCUUUCGAGUCGUAAAGUUCUUUUAUAUGGGAAGAUAAUGACGGUACCAUAAGAAAAAGCCCCGGCUAACUACGUGCCAGCAGCCGCGGUAAUACGUAGGGGGCUAGCGUUGUCCGGAAUCACUGGGCGUAAAGGGUUCGCAGGCGGAAAUGCAAGUCAGGUGUAAAAGGCAGUAGCUUAACUACUGUAAGCAUUUGAAACUGCAUAUCUUGAGAAGAGUAGAGGUAAGUGGAAUUUUUAGUGUAGCGGUGAAAUGCGUAGAUAUUAAAAAGAAUACCGGUGGCGAAGGCGACUUACUGGGCUCAUUCUGACGCUGAGGAACGAAAGCGUGGGUAGCAAACAGGA
rnacentral:rRNA from 3 species